CCUACGGGAUGCAGCAGUGAGGAAUAUUGGUCAAUGGCCGGAAGGCUGAACCAGCCAAGCCGCGUGAAGGACGAAGGUGCCAAGCAUUGUAAACUUCUUUUGUCAAGGGACAAAAUCAGGCUCGAGAGCCUGACCGAGGGUACUUGAAGAAAAAGCAUCGGCUAACUCCGUGCCAGCAGCCGCGGUAAUACGGAGGAUGCGAGCGUUAUCCGGAUUUAUUGGGUUUAAAGGGUGCGUAGGCGGACUGUUAAGUCAGCGGUAAAAGCCCGGGGCUAAACCCCGGCGAGCCGUUGAAACUGGCUGGCUUGAGAGGUCGAGAGGUAUGUGGAAUGCGCAGUGUAGCGGUGAAAUGCUUAGAUAUUGCGCAGAACGCCGAUUGCGAAGGCAGCAUACCGGCGGCGAUCUGACGCUGAGGCACGAAAGCGUGGGUAUCGAACAGGAUUAGAUACCCGAGUAGUC
rnacentral:rRNA from 1 species